ensembl:misc_RNA Y_RNA Y RNA
GGCUGGUCCAAAGGUAGUGAGUUAUCUCAAUUGAUUGUUCAUAGUACAGAUUGAACUCCUCGCUCUACCCUUUCCCCCCUUCUCACUACUGCACUUGACUAGUCUUAA